rnacentral:misc_RNA from 1 species
AGGAGCAUGAGUUCCUCAUUACAGUGGAAGAGGGUUCUAUUGGAGGUUUUUCUUCCCAUGUAUCUCACUUCCUGAGUUUAAGUGGCAUUCUGGAUGGACCCCUAAAGUUGAGAGCAAUGGUUCUCCCUGACAGAUACAUUGACCAUGGAUCGCCUCAAGACCAAAUUCAAGAAGCAGGCAUCUCAUCAAACCAUAUCACUGCCACAGUUUUAUCUCUCUUGGGGAAGCCAAAAGAAGCUCUUCAAUUCAAGUGAAGCAAGAAAAGAAUCAGAAUAUUGUCUCAGGAAUAGCAAAAGCCAUACAUAUCACUGCAAGUGUGAGACUAUUGUAAAAAUGCAAAUUAGUUCAUAUUUAGAUAUUAAUGUACAAAGAUAUGGGACUCCAAUCCCAUGACUAAAAAAUAUCUCAACAAGAA